GACGAACGCUGGCGGCGUGCCUAAUACAUGCAAGUAGAACGCUGAAGCUUGGUGCUUGCACCGAGCGGAUGAGUUGCGAACGGGUGAGUAACGCGUAGGUAACCUGCCUGGUAGCGGGGGAUAACUAUUGGAAACGAUAGCUAAUACCGCAUAAAAUGGAUUAUCGCAUGAUAAUUCAUUGAAAGGUGCAAAUGCAUCACUACCAGAUGGACCUGCGUUGUAUUAGCUAGUUGGUGGGGUAACGGCUCACCAAGGCGACGAUACAUAGCCGACCUGAGAGGGUGAUCGGCCACACUGGGACUGAGACACGGCCCAGACUCCUACGGGAGGCAGCAGUAGGGAAUCUUCGGCAAUGGACGGAAGUCUGACCGAGCAACGCCGCGUGAGUAAAGAAGGUUUUCGGAUCGUAAAGCUCUGUUGUAAGAGAAGAACGAGUGUGAGAGUGGAAAGUUCACACUGUGACGGUAUCUUACCAGAAAGGGACGGCUAACUACGUGCCAGCAGCCGCGGUAAUACGUAGGUCCCGAGCGUUGUCCGGAUUUAUUGGGCGUAAAGCGAGCGCAGGCGGUUAGAUAAGUCUGAAGUUAAAGGCUGUGGCUUAACCAUAGUACGCUUUGGAAACUGUUUUAACUUGAGUGCAAGAGGGGAGAGUGGAAUUCCUGUGUAGCGGUGAAAUGCGUAGAUAUUGGGAGGAACACCGGUGGGCGAAGCGGCUCUUGGUUUGUAACUGUCCGCUGAGGCUCUAAAGCGUGGU
rnacentral:rRNA from 1 species